AACUAAAGGAGUUGACGGGGGCCCGCACAAGCGGUGGAGCAUGUGGUUUAAUUCGAUGAUACGCGAGGAACCUUACCUGGGCUCAAAUGUAUGUUGACGUAUUCUGAAAGGGAUACUUCUUCGGACAAUAUACAAGGUGCUGCAUGGUUGUCGUCAGCUCGUGCCGUGAGGUGUCGGGUUAAGUCCCAUAACGAGCGCAACCCCUAUCAUUAGUUGCCAUCAGGUCAAGCUGGGGACUCUAAUGAAACUGCCUACGCAAGUAGUGAGGAAGGUGGGGAUGACGUCAAAUCAGCACGGCCCUUACGUCCAGGGCUACACACGUGCUACAAUGGCCGGUACAAGGGGCAGCUACCUGGUGACAGGAUGCUAAUCUCAAAAGCCGGUCUCAGUUCGGAUCGGAGUCUGCAACCCGACUCCGUAAAGCUGGAAUCGCUAGUAAUCGCGCAUCAGCCAUGGCGCGGUGAAUACGUUCCCGGGCCUU
rnacentral:rRNA from 1 species